GGCGGGAAUUAAUGGAAGGAAUAAUGGCGCUCUAGACUCUGGAGUGAGAACUUAACGGUUUGGGUGAAAAAUGAGGAGCGACGAUUGCGAUUGGCGGAAGGAUAACAAGUGUUCAUCGGUAGAUGGACGCUUUCAAGCACCGAAUUGGAGGUAACUUUGGAGUGCUUUUACAUUUGGUUUGAUUUUAUCGGCGCCGCUCAGGCCACUACUUUCGCCGUAAGGUUUAUACACGCUUACAAGAAUCGGAGAAUAGGAAGUUGUGGAUUAUUUGUAUCUCUGGUCACAGUGGCUACUACUUUCGUAACAUGCAGAAUGUUCUCUAUUGGGGAAGGAACAAAUAUAAGAGAACAUACGAUAGCUGGUCAGGUAAGGAUUCAGGGACAGAUUUCAACAGUUCCACCAAGAUGGUUGGUAUUGGAGAGCACGUGACAAUAUCACAACACUAUUCUAUUUAAGGUCUGGACAGGUGAAAAUGUUGCUUUGAUAUUCUUUGCUAGUAUGAUAUUGUGUCGAUUAUUUGUGUUCCUUAAACUAUACCCAAUAAAGGUCUUACUGUCAUUAACGAGUAAAAACUAUACCAUUUUUGCUUUGUUUAUGGGUAUGAAGUUAUUGUUCCUAAAAGAAUACAAGAUGAUUAAUUGGACUUGAUUUGCUACGUUUACCUGUCUUUUUUUGUGGCAUAUUAAGAAAGUAAAUAAAAUGCACAGAUGAUGGAAUUAAGGGUGCUCAUUUCCGUCGUUGAAUCAUCUGUAUAUAUUGCCAUUUAAGCAGCAACGGAAAUUAUGCUGUUUUUGUCAUUUAAGAAGAAGACCAAGUUCAUUUGUUGGUAGUGUGUUUUGAGACGUCUUCUUUACACGGAGUGUCAUAUUGUUCAUCAGUAACCCAUCAGAUUCAUAAGGACAUUCUUUUAUUCCGAUCCAAGUUCAUAGGAUCAGGAUACUUAAAUGCUCUAAUCCUUUAUUGUUGCAGACAGCAUUUCGAACUGAGGCAAAACAGAAUCACACAGAUCAGAACCAGGAAAUUAAAGGGGUAAUGGGAAACUUGAAUGCCUUGACCCAUUGCCAUGACUCUUGAAGAUGGCAGGUGAGUUAAAAAAAUGUUUUUAUUCUCCCAUUAGAAAAUGAGUUUCUGCAUUAAUUUCGUCAUAGGUAGGCUUUUUCCAUGCCUAUUUAGGCGGCAUAAAUUUUAUUAUUUUUUAAAGAUGAAUUAACCAUUGAGAAUGAUGAGUGCAUUAAUCUAGCCUCAACCUGGUUAUAGUUUGUUUGAGAAUGCAACUAAAAAUAGGUAAUACACUAUUGGAGCUAGAACGUGAUUGUGGCUAGGCAUAUUUCCCUGCUAAUAGUGUCGUCAAUAGACUCCUCAUUGACCAUAACUUAAAGAAACGAGUUUCUAAUGGAGCUAGAACCUGAAGGGAAGGAAAUACACCGGUGCUUUUUAAAGAUACCACAAUAGAAUGUCACUGAAUUUAGAUAAUAGGUCUUCUUUUGACUUCAAAUAAUUACUGCGAAAAUUCAUCGAAAUAUAUUUUUUAUAUAAUACAUGUCAGACAUGUUUUCAUAUCGCACUUUCCCAAGUAUAACGUCGGUCGUCAGCUGAAUUUGGUAUUCUUCCUCUGAUCUUUUGCUGUCAUGAUGUUUGGUUUUCCCUCUAGUUGGUCCUUUUUGCUUCCCCGUCCGCAAUCUUCUAGGUCAAAACCUACCUCAGAAUUUGAAUGACGACGACGUCAUUCAAUAAAAAAAACUGGCAAUCUGUCAGCUUGUAGUGGACAGUCCACUUAUCAAGCUAACUAAAGGAAGUUUUCGAUCUUUCCAUCAAAUAGUUAAAAGCUUAGAAACUUUCCAACUAGCGUAGGUCUCGCUGCCAG